GAUGAAGAACGCAGCGAAAUGCGAUAAGUAAUGUGAAUUGCAGAAUUCAGUGAAUCAUCGAAUCUUUGAACGCACAUUGCGCCCCCUGGUAUUCCGGGGAGCAUGCCUGUCCGAGCGUCAUUACAACCCUCAAGCUCAGCUUGGUGUUGGGCCCCGCCGCCCCGGCGGGCCCUAAAGUCAGUGGCGGUGCCGUCCGGCUCCGAGCGUAGUAAUUCUUCUCGCUCUGGAGGUCCGGUCGUGUGCUCGCCAGCAACCCCCAAUUUUUUUCAGGUUGACCUCGGAUCAGGUAGGGAUACCCGCUGAACUUAAGCAUAUCAAUAAGCGGAGGA
rnacentral:misc_RNA from 1 species